GAUGAACGCUGGCGGCGUGCCUCAAACAUGCAAGUCGAGCGAGGCUAUGAAUUACCGCAAGGUAAGGCAUAGCCUAGCGGCGAACGGGUGAGUAACACGUGGGGUAACCUACCUGGAAGACAGGGAUAACGAUUCGAAAGGGUCGCUAAUACCUGAUAAUAUCCAUCUGCCGGAUGGCGGAGGGAAGAAAGGGGAAACCCGCUUUCAGAUGGGCCCGCGUCCCAUCAGCUAGUUGGUAAGGUAAAGGCUUACCAAGGCGACGACGGGUAGCCGGUCUGAGAGGAUGUACGGCCACACUGGGACUGAGAUACGGCCCAGACUCCUACGGGAGGCAGCAGUUGGGAAUCUUAGGCAAUGGACGAAAGUCUGACCUAGCGACGCCGCGUGAGGGAAGAAGGCCUUCGGGUUGUAAACCUCUGUCAUGGGGGAAGAAGGAAGUGACGGUACCCCAAGAGGAAGCCCCUGCUAACUACGUG
rnacentral:rRNA from 1 species